rnacentral:rRNA from 1 species
AGGACGAACGCUGGCGGCGUGCCUAACACAUGCAAGUCGAGCGAGGAGAUUCCUUCGGGAUGAUCCUAGCGGCGGACGGGUGAGUAACACGUGGGCAACCUGCCUCAUAGAGAGGAAUAGCCUCCGAAAGGGAGAUUAAUACCUCAUAACAUUGCAGUUUCGCAUGGAACAGCAAUUAAAGGAGCAAUCCGCUAUGAGAUGGGCCCGCGGCGCAUUAGCUAGUUGGUGAGGUAACGGCUCACCAAGGCGACGAUGCGUAGCCGACCUGAGAGGGUGAUCGGCCACAUUGGGACUGAGACACGGCCCAGACUCCUACGGGAGGCAGCAGUGGGGAAUAUUGCACAAUGGGGGAAACCCUGAUGCAGCAACGCCGCGUGAGUGAUGACGGCCUUCGGGUUGUAAAGCUCUGUCUUCAGGGACGAUAAUGACGGUACCUGAGGAGGAAGCCACGGCUAACUACGUGCCAGCCGCCGC